CGUCGCGUGGACCAGGUCGUCGAGGUCGCCGCUGCGGAUCCGGUCGACGAGGGCGUUGAAGCUCUCCUCACCGGUCACCGCGGUGCGCAGCGCC
rnacentral:tRNA from 1 species